UGAGGGAAAGGCGAAAAGAACCCCGGCGAGGGGAGUGAAAAAGAACCUGAAACCGUGUACGUACAAGCAGUGGGAGCACCCUUCGGGGUGUGACUGCGUACCUUUUGUAUAAUGGGUCAGCGACUUAUAUUCUGUAGCAAGGUUAACCGUAUAGGGGAGCCGGAGGGAAACCGAGUCUUAAUUGGGCGUUAAGUUGCAGGGUAUAGACCCGAAACCCGGUGAUCUAGCCAUGGGCAGGUUGAAGGUUGGGUAACACUAACUGGAGGACCGAACCGACUAAUGUUGAAAAAUUAGCGGAUGACCUGUGGCUGGGGGUGAAAGGCCAAUCAAACCGGGAGAUAGCUGGUUCUCCCCGAAAGCUAUUUAGGUAGCGCCUCGUGAAUUCAUCUCCGGGGGUAGAGCACUGUUUCGGCUAGGGGGCCAUCCCGGCUUACCAACCCGAUGCAAACUGCGAAUACCGGAGAAUGUUAUCACGGGAGACACACGGCGGGUGCUAACGUCCGUCGUGAAGAGGGAAACAACCCAGACCGCCAGCUAAGGUCCCAAAGUCAUGGUUAAGUGGGAAACGAUGUGGGAAGGCCCAGACAGCCAGGAUGUUGGCUUAGAAGCAGCCAUCAUUUAAAGAAAGCGUAAUAGCUCACUGGUCGAGUCGGCCUGCGCGGAAGAUGUAACGGGGCUAAACCAUGCACCGAAGCUGCGGCAGCGA
rnacentral:rRNA from 2 species